rnacentral:lncRNA from 1 species
UCAGUUUCAUCCUCUGUGUUUGUAUGAGUUUCCUCUAGCUGUUGUCACAAAUUUUUGCAAGCUCGGUAGCUUAAAAUAACCCAGAUUCAUUAUCCGACAGUUCUGAAGGUGAGGAGCCGCAGUAGGUCUCUGAGACUCCAUCUCAACAACAACAACGACAAAAGAAUAAAUAUUUUAAAAAUGUAUCAAAGCAAUUAACUUUAGAAAUACAAAAAUUAAAGAUGGAUUAAAGACAUAAAUAUAUGACUUAAACUAUAAGAAUCUUAGAAGAAAACCUAGGAAGCACCAUUCUGGACAUCAGCCUUGGGAAAGAAUUUAUCACUAAGUCCUCGAAAACAAUUGUAACAAAAACAAAAAUUGACAAGUGGGACUUAAUUAAACUAAAG